rnacentral:rRNA from 1 species
CCUACGGGUGGCAGCAGUGGGGAAUAUUGCACAAUGGGGGAAACCCUGAUGCAGCGACGCCGCGUGAGGGAAGAAGUAUUUCGGUAUGUAAAGCUCUAUCAGCAGGGAAGAAAAUGACGGUGCCUGAUUAAGAAGCCCCGGCUAACUACGUGCCAGCAGCCGAGGUAAUACGUAGGUGGCAAGCGUUAUCCGGAUUUACUGGGUGUAAAGGGCGGGUAGGCGGGUCUGCGAGUCAGAUGUGAAAACCACGGGCUCAACCUGGGGCCUGCGUUUGAACCGGUAGUUCUUGAGUACGGGAGAGGAGGACGGAAUUCCCGGUGUAGCGGUGGAAUGUGUAGAUAUUAGGAAGAACACCAGUGGCGAAGGCGGUCUGCUGGGCAGCUACUGACGCUGAGGCGCGAAAGCGUGGGGAGCGAACAGGAUUAGAUACCCCUGUAGUC